UGCGGAAGGAUCAUUACCAAGAACCACACAGAAAAGGGAGGCAAAGGGGCCGACAGGGCUAGUAGCUUAUACGUUGUUGAACGUCCUGCCUGGACCCGGAGCCGCCCCCAUCUAAACCCUCUGCGUACCUGUCCCUUCUUGCUUCCCCCGGCAUCUCGUCGGGGGGAGGUAACAACCAAAACUCUCUGUGAAUCAAACAGCCGUCAGAAUUAUAAAACAAACAAAAGUUAAAACUUUCAACAACGGAUCUCUUGGUUCCCACAUCGAUGAAGAACGCAGCGAAAUGCGAUAAGUAAUGUGAAUUGCAGAAUUCAGUGAAUCAUCGAAUCUUUGAACGCACAUUGCGCCCCCUGGUAUUCCGGGGGGCAUGCCUGUUCGAGCGUCAUAAAAACCUCCUCCCCCUUCGGGUUUUGUUACUAUCGUUGGGGGGUUUUGGCCUAAUGGGAUAGCGAUUGGCAAUUCGUUUCCCAAUGUCCUAAAUAGACGUAGACCCGCCUCCAGAUGCGACAGCACCGAGGCCAUCAACCGUGGAGUUAUGGGAUAUAAUAGGCUUGCAGUAAAAUGCUCACCUCUCUCCACACGCCGAUGGCACGACAGUUGCAGUUGCGGGCGUAAAUUGGAGCCCUUUUCAGGACCCUUGUGGCCUAGCAUCCACCAUACAUAAUUUGACCUCGGAUCAGGUAGGGAUACCCGCUGAACUUAAGCAUAUCAAUAAGCCGGAGGAA
rnacentral:rRNA from 1 species